UACGAAGGGGGCUAGCGUUGUUCGGAAUUACUGGGCGUAAAGCGCGCGCAGGCGGCUAUCCAAGUCAGUGGUGAAAGCCCGGAGCUCAACUCCGGAACUGCCAUUGAAACUGUUUAGCUUGAGUAUGAGAGAGGUGAGUGGAAUUCCCAGUGUAGAGGUGAAAUUCGUAGAUAUUGGGAAGAACACCGGUGGCGAAGGCGGCUCACUGGCUCAUUACUGACGCUCAGGCGCGAUAGCGUGGGGAUCAAACAGG
rnacentral:rRNA from 1 species